GGGUGGGAGGCAGGGCACAGAGCCAGGCGCUCCCUGCCCUGGGGAGGAGCAGCAGCCGCCUCGCAGCUGCCUGGCCUUGGGUGCAAAUUGCGGAGCGGGGAACGCAAUCAGCAGAGGAACAAAGCUGAGGCGGCAGCCGCAGGCCGGGGAGCGCGAAGCCCUUGAGGGCAGGCGGGUGCCUGAAACCCCCUUUGCUCAGACAUGAAUACGAGAAGAAGCGACAGGCUCCCCGUUUAGCUAUGACAAACCUGGAGCUGGGUUAAAUGCAGCUUUCGUGCAACUCCACAAAAGCCCAAAUUCAUGCCUGAUGACCGAAAACCUUCGUUGGAGAGAGCCUCGUGGUGUCUAAGCUGUAUUGCAAGGGGAGAGGAUGGGGGAACAGACCAGAAGGAACAGGCUGCCAACAAGAGACUUUUGGGAAAGCUGUCAGACUGAAGUAACAAAGGAAGAUGAAAUUGUGAGGAGAGAAGAGACUGUAUAUUGUGUUUGAGGAUUCAUCAGUUUCACUUUUAGCUCAUAACUUUAAGGAAAAAAAUAUUUUCAAGCUAACUGAGGACUGCAAUGUUGUUGUAGGUUUUUUUUUAUUUUUCACUUUAUUUGCACUAGAAUUGUGUCAGAACCUCAAAUCUCCCUUGAA